rnacentral:rRNA from 1 species
CAGUAAGGAAUCUUCCACAAUGGGCGAAAGCCUGAUGGAGCAACGCCGCGUGCAGGAUGAAGGCCCUCGGGUCGUAAACUGCUUUUAUGAGUGAAGAAUAUGACGGUAACUCAUGAAUAAGCACCGGCUAACUACGUGCCAGCAGCCGCGGUCAUACGUAGGGUGCAAGCAUUAUCCGGAGUGACUGGGCGUAAAGAGUUGCGUAGGCGGUCUGUAAAGCGAAUAGUGAAACCUGGUGGCUCAACCAUCAGACUAUUAUUCGAACUCACAGACUCGAGAGUGGUAGAGGUAACUGGAAUUUCUAGUGUAGGAGUGAAAUCCGUAGAUAUUAGAAGGAACACCAAUGGCGUAGGCAGGUUACUGGACCAUUUCUGACGCUAAGGCACGAAAGCGUGGGGAUCAAACAGGAUUAGA